ACUAUGCUUCUGAAAUAUAGUACUGAAAAGAUGAGUAACCACGGCAUGAAGCGAGUACUUUUGAAAGCUACUACAUGACCAUGCUAUCUCCUACAACUGUCCAUAUAUAGUCAAUAUGAAUAUUAUCCUCAUUUCAUGUCUUCCUUGUUCUAAUGCAUCAUUCAACUAAGAAAAAAUAUGGUGUAGAUAGUAGAUGCACAGAAAUUAUAGAACGCUUUGUGUAGGCUGUUCAUACCUUUACAGGGUUUUUUUUUUCCUUGCAGUGAGAUUUUGCUAUGGAGGACUCUUCAUACAUAUAAUCUAUUUGGAAGUCAAAGUAGCAUAUGCGGGCCGCAACCCUAAUAGAAAAGGAACACUCAAAUGAGAGGAUUAAGAAUAUGUAUUGCCAAAUUCCAAUAGUACAAGUAGAAUGGUCACUCGGAUCAAGUUGGGUCCAAUCUUGCAAAAAAGCAUCGAAGACCCGACAAGCAUCAAAUCUUCAGUCGUUUAAUUUCUCCCUCACUCAACUGUAAUUCCGGCGAGCGAAUCUUCAGCAUCGAAGACCCGACAAGCAUCGAAUCUUCAGCAUCCUUUUUUUGCCGACGAGUCCGAAUUCGCCGCUACUGUUUUCUCAAAUUCAAGAACGAAAAUUCAAGAAGAACGAGAUUUGAAGAAAGAACGAAAAUUCCUCGCUCUGAUUUUGGCGAUUUAGGUUUUUUUUAAAUAUAUUUAGUGCAAUUUCAUUCUUGUAUGUUAGAUCUGAUUUUGUUUUUUUAGGUUUAUUUUUUUAAUUUCGUUUUUUUGUAUGUUAGAUCUAAAUAUUUAAGUUUUUUAUUUCGUUUUUAUUAAAUCUGAUUUUUUUUUUUUUUUUUUAUGGUAUUUAUCCUAGUCUAGGAUUUAUUUUUCAGAUUUAGGAUUUUCUUGUAAAUUUUCUCUUCUGAAAUUCCUUUUUUUCGUUUUCAGAUCUCGAAGCCUUGUUAUCGAAGCCAUGUUCUCAAAGCCUUCUUCCUCUUCAAGAUUAUUUCUCAUGAUUCUAGAUUCAGUUUUGGUUUUACAUCUUUUUUUUACUGCAAAAUGUAUUUUAUUUAUAUUUAUUUUACAUAUUUUUUUUCUCUCAUUCGAUUAGUUUGUAAUACAUUUUUUGAUAGUAACAGUAAUAAAUUAUGUGCAGAAUCAAAAUAAUAUUGUUGUGGAGUUGUAAUUUAUCUCUUUUUCUUUAUUUUCAGUAAUUUAUUAUUACAAAUACGAUUGCGUUUGCACAGAGCCUCAUUCUGUUCAUAAAAUCAAUUUUUCUUCCCCAAUAAAAAAAAUUUUUUUAAAAAAAAUUGAAAUUUGCGUCGCACGUAGCCCAAGGUGCGACGCAAAUCACUUAUCUGCGUCGCACCCUAGGUAAUGUGCGACGCACAUUAUCGCUCUAUGUUGGGCAAGGGGGAACCACUUGUGUCGUACCGUAUAAAGGUGCGACGUAAAUAGCUGAACCAUCUGCGUCGUUUCCGCAUACGACACAGAUCGUUUUUGAGUCAUUUGCGUCGAGGGCUUUGGCGUUGCACCAUAGUCCGACGCAAAUAGGCGCCUCACAUCCGACGCAAAUUGCCUUUUAUGUACUAGUGCAUACUCGUCUGUCAUUUCUCCACCCCCGUCGUCCUAGCCCUCCCCCGCCAUCUCCCUUUCUUUGCCCUCUCUAAACCUUAAAGCCCUCUACCUU